CCAAAACCUCAUUUCUCAAUUCUAAACCCUAAACCCUAAACUCUAAACUCUAAACUCUAAACCCUAAACUCUAAACCCUAAACCCUAAACCCUAAAUCCUAAACCCUAAACCCUAAACUCUAAACCCUAAACCCUAAACUCUAAACUCUAAACCUAAACCCUAAACUGUAAACCCUAAACCCUAAAUUCUAAACCCUAAACCCUAAACCUAAACCCUAAACUCUAAACCCUAAACCCUAAACCCUAAAUCCUAAAC
rnacentral:lncRNA from 1 species